AGUGAACGCUGGCGGUAGGCCUAACACAUGCAAGUCGAACGGCAGCACAGUAAGAGCUUGCUCUUACGGGUGGCGAGUGGCGGACGGGUGAGGAAUACAUCGGAAUCUACUUUUUCGUGGGGGAUAACGUAGGGAAACUUACGCUAAUACCGCAUACGACCUACGGGUGAAAGCAGGGGAUCUUCGGACCUUGCGCGAUUGAAUGAGCCGAUGUCGGAUUAGCUAGUUGGCGGGGUAAAGGCCCACCAAGGCGACGAUCCGUAGCUGGUCUGAGAGAAUGAUCAGCCACACUGGAACGGAGACACGGUCCAGAUUCCUACGGGAGGCAGCAGUGGGGAAUAUUGGAAAAUGGGCGCAAGCCUGAUCAAGCAAUACCGCGUGGGUGAAGAAGGCCUUCGGGUUGUAAAGCCCUUUUGUUGGGAAAGAAAAGCAGCAGGUUAAUACCCCGCUGUUCUGACGGUACCCAAGAAUAAGCACCGGCUAACUUCGUG
rnacentral:rRNA from 1 species